AUGGCUUCCGGAUGCUUUACGUGCCAGAAUGGAAACCAGAAGUUCCCAGAGCGUAAUGUAAAUUGGCAGAACCAGGCAAAAGUUUCAUCAAGCUGAAAUGUUGGCUGGGGGGAAGGCUGAGAGGUUUAGAGGAAGAACCUCAGAAAGAAUUAGAACAUUUUACACCCAGAACACUCUCACUUUCUAAAUGAGGGAACUAAGAAGAGUCAAAUGGUUUACCAGCAGCUGGUGCCAUUCAUGGAGCUUUCCCAAUUCCAGUUGUUACAGCCUCCACUGAGGAGAGAUUUAGUCAUCGUCCUCUUCCUGGUACAGAGAAGGAGACGGUUACAAGUGAAGAUUCCCCUUGUAAAUGUGUUUCUCUCUUUCACAAAGGGACACUGAUACACUGAUCCUGAAAUCCUUAAGGAAAUGUUACAGACUGAGAUGAGCUAAAAACAAUCUUGAAAGGGAAGAACAAUGCUGAUGGACUCAUUCAGAAUUCCCAAUUACACUGUUAGUACAAACCUAUAAUAAAGACAGUAUGUAGUUCUGGCAUAAGGAUAGAUAUAGAUCAGUGAAACCCAGAAAUAGACAUCUAUGGACAAGUGAGUUUUGACAAGGGCACCAAGACAUUCAAUGGGGGGAAAGAAUGGUCUUUUCAUUUAGAAACUGUAGUCAAUAUGAAAUACCAAUAUCUAUAAUGAAAUAACUGAAUAUCCACAGGCAGAAGAAUGAACUUGGAUCCCUACUUCACAUCACAUAUAAAAAUUAACUCAAAUGGAUCAAAGAUUUAAAUGUAAGGGCUGAAACUAUAAAAAUCCUAGAAGACAGUAAUCUUGUAACCUUGGAUUAGGUAUCCAUUUCUUAGAUAUGACAUCAAAACCCAAGGAACAAAGGAAAAACAGACAAAUUAGACUUCAUUAAAAUUAGAAGCUUUUCUGCUUCAAAGGAGAGCAUCACCGUGAAAAAGACUAAUAGCAUGAAAAACAACAAAAUACUUGGGAAUAAAUUUAACCACGGAGGUGAAAUAUCUGUCCAUUGACAACUGUAAAACACUGAUAAAGAAAUUGAAAAAUGCACAAAGAGGUGGAAAGAUAUCCUGUGUUCACAGAUCAGAAAAUAUUGUUAAAAUUUCCACACUACCCAAAGCCAUCUUAAUGCAAUCCCUAUCAAAAUUCCAGUGGCAUACUGUACAGAAAUAGGAAAAAAAAUCCUAAAUUUCAUAUGGAACCAAAAAAGACCCUGAAUGGCCAAAGUAGUCCUGAGAAAUAAGAACAAAGCUGGAGGCAUCAUAUGUCCUGAUUUAAAAUGAUACUACAAAAUCUAUAGUAAUUAAGGGAGUUCCAGGCAAGAUGGCGGAGUGGUAGGACCACGAGCUCGCCUCUCCUCGUGACUACAAUGAAACCACAACUGAAUGCUAAACAACCAUCGGAAAAAAGACUGGAAGCUAGCAAAGAUCUUCUGCAACUGGAAACAUAAAGAGGGAACCACAGCAGGACGGUAGGAGGAGUGCUCUGGUGAUAUAAUUGGACCACAUACCCCCAAAGUGGGCGACCCACCACCUGAAGAUUAGUUAAGUUGUAGAGGCCCUCCCAAAAAAGUGAGAGCUCUAAGCCCCACGUCAGGCUCCCCAGCUCAGGUCCUGGCAUUGGGAAGAGAAGGAGACCCCAGGAAAUCUGGUUUUGAAGGACCGGGGGACUUGGCUCUGGGAGCCUGAUGGGACGGGGGGAAACAGAGACUCCAUUCGCUUGAGAAGCGUACACGGAAACUCAUAUGCACCAGGUCCAAGGGCAGAGGCAGUGAUUUCAUACGAACCUGGGCCAGGCCUGCCUGCUGGAUUUGGAGGGUCUCCUGGGGACGUGGGGGAUGGCUGUGGCUCACCCAGGGGACAUAAAAGCUGGUGGUGGAUAUUCUGGCAGUAUUAAUCUACAUGAGCUUUCCUGGAGGCUGACAUUUUGAUUGGAUCAUUAGCACCCAACAGCCUGUAGGGAAGCCUCAGGCCAAACAACCUACAAGGUGGGAACACAGCCCCACCCAUCAGCAGACUUCCUGAGCCACAAAGGCCUCCAGACACAGCCCCACCCACCAGAGGUCCAGGACCAAACUUUACCUAGCAGUGGGCAGGCACUGCUCCUGCCAGGAAACCUGCAUAAGCCUCUAGUCCAGCCUCAUCCAGAAGGGGCAGAUACCAGAAAUAGGAACACAAUAAUCCCAAAGCCUGUGGAAGGAGUCCGCAAACAUCUCCCAGGCCAAGGCCCAAGAUAAAAUCCCAGAAGAACAAAUAUGCGAUGAGGAGAUAGGUAAAUUAUCCGAGGAAGAGUUUAAAGUAAUGAUGGCCAAGAUGGUCAGAGAACUCAAGAGGAGUAUAGAUGCACAGAGCGAAGUUUUUACCACAGAGUUGGAAAAGAUAAAUACCCAGAGUUGAAGAAUAAAAUCACUGAAAUGAACAAUACACUAGAAGGAACCUAGAAUAGACUACACAAGGCAGAAGAACGAUCAGUGAGCUAGAAGACAGAUCAGUGGAAAUCACUACUGCAGAACAGAAAAAAGAAAAAGGAAUGAGGAUAGUUUAAGAGAACUCUGGGACAACCUGAAGCGCUCUAAUAGUUGCAUUACAGGCGUCUCAGAACGAGGAGAAAGGACCUGAGAAAAUUUUGCGGGAGAUAAUAAUCAAAAAUGCUCCCAACUUGGGAAAGGAAACAGUCACCCAAGUCCUGGAAACACAGAGUACCACACAGAAUGAACGCAAAGAAGUUCAUUAAUUGACAACAAUUAAGGAUAAGGAGACAAUAUUAAAAUUAACAAGAGAAAAGCAACAAAUAACAUACAAGGGAACUCCCAUAAGGUUAUCAGCAGAUUUUCAAGCAGAAACUCUACAGGCCAGAAGGGAGUGGCAUGGAUAUAUUUAAAGUGAUGCAAGGGGGAAACUUACAACCAAGAAUACUCUAUCCAGCAAGGCUCUGGUUCAGACUUGAUGGAGAAAUCAAAACCUUCACAGAUAAACAAACACUAAAAGAUUUCAGCACCACCAAACCAGCUUUACAACAAAUGUUAAAUGACCUUCUCUAGUCAUCAAACCAUACAAAAAGAGAAGAAGAAGAAGAAAGAAAGAAAAAAGAGAGACCUACAAGAUUGCUUUGGCUGUUAGGGGUCUUUUGUGAUUCUUUAUACAUUUUGGAAUUGUUUGUUCUAGUUCUAUGAGGAGUGUUGUGAGUAUUUUGACAGGGGUUGCGUUGGAUCUGUGGAUUGCUUUGGGUAGUGUGGCCAUUUUGCCACCAUUGAUUCUUCCAAUCCAAGAGCACAAGAAAUCUUUCCAUUUCUUUGUGUCAUUUUGGUUUUCAGAGUAUAGGUAACCUCCUUGGUUAAGUUUAUUUCCAGGUAUUUUGUUGUUUUUGGUGUAAUGGAAAAUGUCUCCGCCAGUUAUAAAGUUCUGGUUUUUGAAGUGGAAAAAAAAAAGUGAAUGAAGGGCUGCAAAUGGCAAAAUGUCCUCCUUUUUUAAUGGGUGACUUGUAUUCCAUUAUGUAUAUGUAUAUAUAUGUGUGUGUGUGUAUGUGUAUGUAUAUAUAUGUGUGUGUGUGUGUAUGUGUAUGUAUAUAUAUGCUGCAUCUUCAUUAUCUAUUCACCUAUUGAUGUGCACUUAGGAUACUUCAGUAUCUUGGCAAUUAUAAAUGAUGUUGCUGUUAACAGCAGGGUGUAUGUAUCUUUUUGAGUUAAUUCUUAUUUUCUGCUUGUCUUUAUUCCUUUGAUAACUAUGUAAGUUUAAAAAGCUAAAGCUCUAAACGUUCUUAGAAACAAGGAACAGUACAUAUAUGUAAAUUAAAAAAUAUAUGUGUAGUAAAAAAAAAAUGAUCUAUCAAGCCAUGAAAGACAUGGAAGAAGCUUAAAAGACAUACUACUAAAUGAAAGAAGCCAGCCUGAAAAGGCUACAAACUGUAUGAUUCCAACCAAAUGACAUUCUGGAAAAGGCACAGCUACAGAAACAAAAAGAUCGCUGUUUCCAGGGGUUUGGGGACAGGGAGGGAGGGAGGGAUGAACAGAUGGAGCACAAGGGAUUUUUAGGCCAAUGAAAUUAUUCUGUAUGAUACUACAGUGGUGGCUACAUGUCAUUAUGCAUUUGUCAAAUCCCACAGAAUGUACAACAUCAAGAGUGAACCCUAAUGUGAACUACGGACUUUGGUUGAUAAUAAUGUGUCCAUGUUGGUUCAUCAAUUUUACCAAAUCUGCCACACUGAUGGGGGAUGUUGAGGGUAGGGGAGUAUGUAUGUGUGGGUGGGGAGGGCUGUGUGCAAACUCUCUGUAUUUUCUGUUCAAUUCUGUUGUGAACCUGAAACUGCUCUAAAAGAAUAAAGUCUAUUUUGAAAAACUAUAGUAAUCAAAACAGUAUGCUAGUGGCA